ACGCCUCAAGUUGUCAUACCACUGUUAGAAUUUCUCUCUGCAUUGUCAAAGCUUCGUGAUUAGUACAAAACUUCACAGCGAUCCAUUUGAAACAAGUCAUUGGAAUAUGUUUGCCUCACACAGCAUCAUCGAGAUACUCUCAAUACACGG